GCCUGGGUGGCUCAGUCGGUUGGGUGUCUGGCUUUGGCUCAGGCUGUGACCCCAGAAUCCUGGGAUCAAGCCCCACUUCAGGCU
rnacentral:tRNA from 1 species